CCCCUCCCCCACGGCUCCUUUCCCCCAACAUUAUGACCCCUCCCCCACGGCUCCCUUUCCCCACCUCAAACGUUCAUUGUGGCCUAGGUGUUAUUUGUAUUUGAGUAAACCGAUAUUGAAGUAAAAAGGGUUAUGAUCUCACCAAUGCUAAGCUAAAUGUUGCUAACCUCUUCGUCUUCACUUUCUCACGUCAUUGAGUUUCUGCACAGAUUUAAAAACCUCCUCACCGAUGAGCACCUUUUUAUAUUUACUCUUCUUUGUAAAGUUUAACGCUGCCUUUUGAACAAAUGUAAAGCUGCUGUAAGUACGGGGUUCAUCUCGUGUCUUCGAAAACAAAUUUGCAAAUUAAAACGAAAAUUGGUCAGAAAUUAGUUUUUCUUGCAAAAGAUAUUUCAUUUCAGUUUCAAUCGUUUUUCCCACAAAGCAUUUUUUAAAUUGCACAAAAGACCAACAAGUCUUUAAUUUCUGAAAUAUAGAACAUGUUACCUUAACGAUUUUUCUGUGAUUAAAUCCCCGCUCUGAAUUACCUGUAAUCUCUCCUCGUUAACCUGACCAGGUGUCUCCCUCUCCUCGUUAACCUGGCCAGGUGUCUCCCUCUCCUCGUUAACCUGGCCAGGUGUCUCCCUCUCCUCGUUAACCUGACCAGGUGUCUCCCUCUCCUCGUUAACCUGACCAGGUGUUUUCCAUCCAGAAGUUUCAGCUAAAUAAAAUCUAUUUAUUGAUUUAGUAUUUAUUAGACGUAUGACAGCGGCCCGUCGCCCGAGCGUCUCCAAACUAUUCCACUAAAUGUUUUUUAUUCACUCGCCUGCUGAAUAUUUUUUUUGUACGUUUUUAUAUUGAGUUUUUCUACAAAGCUGUUAAAUCUGUGCUUUAUUAUCUAAAUUGUGCGAUGGAAGCAGACGGAUAUUAAAGAUGAUGACUUUCUGUAUGAACACACUUUUAUACGAACAAGAACACAUGAAGACAUUCGAGUUUAACAUAUUUGUAUUUAUUGUUUGAAAAAAUAAAAUAAAGAAGCUGUUUUAUACA